rnacentral:rRNA from 1 species
GAUGAACGCUAGCGGCAGGCCUAAUACAUGCAAGUCGAACGGUGUAGCAAUACACAGUGGCGCACGGGUGCGUAACACGUAUGCAACCUACCUUACAUUGGGGGAUAGCCUUUCGAAAGGGAGAUUAAUACCGCAUAAGACAGUAACUAGGCAUCUAGUAGCUGUUAAAGAUUUAUCGAUGUAAGCUGGGCAUGCGUCCAAUUAGUUAGUUGCAGAGGUAAUGGCUCACCAAGACGAUGAUUGGUAUGGGCACUGAGAGGUCAAUCCCCCACACUGGCACUGAGAUACGGGCCAGACUCCUACGGGAGGCAGCAGUAGGGAAUAUUGGGCAAUGGGCGCAAGCCUGACCCAGCCAUGCCGCGUGCAGGAAGAAGGCGUUAUGCGUUGUAAACUGCUUUUAUACAGGAAGAAACGACCCUUGCGAGGGGCAUUGACGGUACUGUAUGAAUAAGCACCGGCUAACUCCGUGCCAGCCGCCGCGGUAACAC